CCGUGGCCAGCAGCCGCGGUAAUACGUAGGUGGCAAGCGUUAUCCGGGAAUUAUUGGGCGUAAAGCGCGCGCCAGGUGGUUUCUUAAGUCUGAAUGUGAAAGCCCACGGCUCCAACCGUGGAGGGUCAUUGGAAACUGGGAGACUUGAGUGCAGAAGAGGAAAGUGGAAUUCCAUGUGUAGCGGUGAAAUGCGUAGAGAUAUGGAGGAACACCAGUGGCGAAGGCGACUUUCUGUUCGGUAACUGACAUUGAGGCGGGAAAGCGUGGGGAGCAAACAGGAUUAGAUACCUUGGUAGUCCACGCGGUAAACGAUGAGUGUUAAGUGUUAGAGGGUUUCCGCCCUUUAGUGCGGAAGUUAACGCAUUAAGCAUUCCCCCUGGGGAGUACGGCCGCAAGGCUGAAAUUCAAAGGAAUUGACGGGGGCCCGCCCAAGCGGUGGAGCAUGUGGUUUAAUUGGAAGCAACGGGAAGACCCUUACCAGGUCUUGACAUCUUCUGACAACCCUAGAGAUAGGGUUUUUCUUUCGGGAGCAGAGUGACAGGUGGUGCAUGGUGGUGGUCAGCUCGUGUCGUGAGAUGUUGGGUUAAGUCCCGCAACGAGCGCAACCCUUGUUUUUAGUUGCCAUCAUUAAGUUGGCCAUUUUAAGGUGACUGCCGGUGACAAACCGGAGGAAGGUGGGGAGGACGUCAAAUCUUCAUGCCCCUUAUGACUUGGGUUACACACGUGUUCCAAUGGACGGUACAAAGAGUUGCAAGACCGGGAGGGGGAGUUAAUUUCAUAAAACCGUUUUCAGUUCGGAUUGUAGGUUGCAAUUGGCUUCCAGGAAGCGGGAAUCGUUGGUAAUCGGGGAUCACCAUGCCGCGGGGAAUACGUUCCCGGCCCUGGUCCACACCGCCCGUCACACCAGGAGAGUUUGUAACACCGGAAGUCGGUGGGGUAACCUUUGGAGCCAGCCGCUAAGUGAUCAGGU
rnacentral:rRNA from 1 species